GUCGGAGAUGAUGUCCUCCGGAUGUCCAUACAGUCAGGAAAACCUGCUGAAAAAACUGCACCUCAGAGGACAGCCGGAAAAACUGCACUUCAGCGAUCUGGAGGACAGAGGGGAGGCCAGGCAGUGGAACGAACCAGACCAUCUUGGAAAACCGAUCCACUACCACAGCAAUGGUGGUCUUCCCCUCUGAUGGCGAGCGCUUCCAGGGUCCGGGUGAUACCUGGGUGUCCAGUCCCUGGUGUGGUGUGUGCCCAGGUCACCAACCAGCCCCGCACUCUCCUUGGCAGGGUGAACUGGAAGCGCUCAAAGAACAGGGUCCAGUGGGCCUGGCGAGGGUUGAGGUUCCAUUUGUCGGUCAGGAACAGCUCCCGGGCACCAUCUAACUCGUGUCUCCACCCCUCAAAUUCCAACUUCACCACCUGCAGCUCACAGUCGCCCACGUCAUAGUUCCUCUCCGCAGCAGUCAGUUCCCUUUAGAAGUAGGCAACGGGAUGUCUAGGGGGAUCCCCGUGCUGCUGGGAGAGGACCGCCCCCACCUCGACCUCGGAUGCGACUAUCUUGACCAUGAAGGGCUUGUGUGGGUCCAGAUGGUGUAGCAGGGGAGCGAUGGUGAAGGUGCUAUAUCUUUGGAUGAACCAGCGGUAGAAGUAGGCAAACCCCAUGAAGCUCACCGCCUCCACCUUCAGUUCCUCCAUCUUGAUACCCUCCAGAGCGAUGUGAUAUCCCAGAAAGGUGGGCUGGUGGACAUGCACUUCUCGUCUUUCACUGAGAGCUGGUGGUCGAGCAGACGUUACAGGACAUCACGGAUGUGGGCCACAUGUUCCGGGUAUGUCGGGAAGUAGACCAGGCUAUUGUCGAUGUACACCACCACAUACCUCCCCUACAUAUCACAGAAAACCUUGUUGAGGUAGGACAAGAACACUGCUGGUGCAUUGGCCAGCCCGUACAACAUGACCAGGUACUCGUAGAGGCCCGGCGCCAUGGCUGUCUUCCAUUCGUCUCUCUCCUGGACAUACCAGGUUGUAGGUGCUCCGGUGAUCAAGCUUCAGCUGCUUGAUGCCCGAAGGGACGAGGGGCAUCGAGAACCUGUAUAAUAUGGUAAAGUUGUUCAGGCC
ensembl:lncRNA